UGGAAUUCCAGGUGUAGCGGUGAAAUGCGUAGAUAUCUGGAGGAACAUCAGUGGCGAAGGCGACUCCCUGGCCAAAGACUGACGCUCAUGUGCGAAAGUGUGGGUAGCGAACAGGAUUAGAUACCCUGGUAGUCCACACCGUAAACGCUGUCUACUAGCUGUUUGGACUUUCAUUAGACUGAGUAGCGAAGCUAACGCGCUAAGUAGACCGCCUGGGGAGUACGGCCGCAAGGUUAAAACUCAAAUGAAUUGACGGGGGCCCGCACAAGCGGUGGAGCAUGUGGUUUAAUUCGACGCAACGCGAAGAACCUUACCUGGCCUUGACAUCUGUGGAACUUGGUAGAGAUACCUUGGUGCCUUCGGGAACCGCAAGACAGGUGCUGCAUGGCUGUCGUCAGCUCGUGUCGUG
rnacentral:rRNA from 14 species